GAAAUGGAAACCCAGAGUAUGUAUCCUCAGAUGGAACCAGCUUAAAUGUUAUAUUCAUGCAAACAGAAGUGUUUUUGUCUGUAUUUAAAUAAGUAGUGUUUUCAAACACCAAAGAGACACCACAUGCACAGCAUUAAAGAGUAUUAAAACUGGCUGUUUCUUUUAUUAAUGAUGGUGAAGACAAAGGAAAUCAUUUCCCCUUAGGUUUUGUAUUGUACCAUGGUAAGUUUUUGGCAUACCAUAAUAAAUCCUGAAGACAAACACAAUGAAUCCACUGUCAGAGAGGUUGAAUUUACCC